rnacentral:tRNA from 1 species
UGGCUCAGUUGGUAGAGCAUGGGGUUUACAAUGCCAGGGUUGUGGGUUCGUUUCCCAC